rnacentral:rRNA from 1 species
UACGUAGGGUGCAAGCGUUGUCCGGAAUUAUUGGGCGUAAAGAGCUCGUAGGCGGUUUGUCGCGUCUGCUGUGAAAACUCGGGGCUUAACUCCGGGCCUGCAGUGGGUACGGGCAGACUAGAGUGCGGUAGGGGAGACUGGAAUUCCUGGUGUAGCGGUGAAAUGCGUAGAUAUCAGGAGGAACACCGGUGGUGUAGACGGCUUUCUGGACCGUAACUGACGCUGAGACACGAAAGCGUGGGUAGCAAACAGG